CAGGGCGCUGGGAGCUGCCAGUGGCGCUGUCAUGGCGUCGGAGGCGCUGGCUGAGGAGAGCCGGUCGCGGUGUCUAUAGGACGAGGGGCGGGCGGCCCGGGUAUGGAGAGCAGCCCGGACAGCCUGCAGCCGCUGGAACACGGGUUGGUGGCGGGCUCCUCACCCGAGACGGGUUCUGUGCCGGAAGGACGACAGGACGCGGGGCUGGAGGCGAGAGAUGGUGCCGGAGUCUGGGCUGCGGAGAGCGGCGGCGGCCAGGGGCAGGGGGCGGCGGCGGCGGCGGCCGGGAGGAGUCUCCCGGACUCGGCUGGUCCGGCCGAGCCUGCCCGGGUCCCGGGCUGGGACUUGAAGGAGGACGCCGCCCCGGCGCCUGGGAGAGGGCAGCACAAGGUGACCGGCUCGGCGGAGGCGCCCGAGGCCGCGGCGGGCCAGGGGCUGGGUCGGCCCGGGGGCGCCGGCACCUGCGGGGCGCAGCUGUCAAUCACCGAGGAGCCCCGCAGCGCCCGCGGCCUCGGCGGCGGCGGCGGCGGCGGCAGCGACCCGAGUCCUCCCGCGGAGUCGCCCAGCCUGGACUCGCUGGAGUCCUUCUCCAACCUGCAUUCUUUCCCCAGUAGCUCCGAGUUCAAUAGUGAAGAGGGAGCGGAGAACCGGGUCCUCGAGGAGGAGGAGGAGGAGGAGGAGGAGGAGGAGGAGGGCGCGGCGGCGGUGCCCGGCGCGGCUCCCCUGUGCCAGGAGGAGGAGGAGGACGCUGCUCAGGUGUUGGCGGCCUCCAAGGAGCGCUUCCCGGGACAAUCUGUGUAUCACAUCAAGUGGAUCCAGUGGAAGGAAGAGAACACGCCCAUUAUCACCCAGAAUGAGAACGGACCCUGCCCUUUGCUGGCCAUCCUUAAUGUUUUGCUUCUGGCCUGGAAGGUGAAACUUCCUCCAAUGAUGGAAAUUAUAACUGCGGAACAGCUGAUGGAAUAUUUAGGCGAUUACAUGCUUGAGGCAAAACCAAAAGAAAUUUCAGAAAUUCAGCGUUUAAAUUAUGAACAGAACAUGAGUGAUGCUAUGGCGGUUCUGCACAAGCUGCAGACGGGCCUGGAUGUCAACGUGAAGUUCACCGGGGUCCGAGUGUUUGAGUGCACACCGGAAUGCAUAGUGUUUGAUCUUCUCGAUAUCCCCUUGUAUCAUGGGUGGCUCGUGGACCCUCAGAUGGACGACAUAGUCCGGGCUGUCGGUAACUGCAGCUAUAACCAGCUAGUGGAGAAGAUCAUCUCCUGCAAGCAGUCGGACGACAGCCAGCUGGCCAGCGAAGGUUUUGUAGCUGAGCAGUUUCUAAACAAUACAGCCACUCAGCUGACAUACCAUGGAUUAUGUGAGCUCACCUCAACGGUGCAGGAAGGAGAGCUGUGUGUGUUCUUUCGGAAUAAUCAUUUUAGCACCAUGACCAAAUACAAGGGUCAGCUGUAUUUGCUAGUAACAGACCAGGGAUUCCUUACUGAGGAAAAGGUUGUUUGGGAAAGUCUACACAACGUAGAUGGCGAUGGGAAUUUCUGUGAUUCAGAAUUCCGUCUGCGUCCUCCUUCGGAUCCUGAAACUGUGUACCAAGGUCAGCAAGACCAGAUAGAUCAGGACUACCUGAUGGCGUUGUCUCUACAGCAAGAACAGCAGAGUCAGGAGAUCAAUUGGGAACAAAUUCCAGAAGGAAUCAGUGACCUGGAACUGGCAAAGAAGCUUCAGGAGGAGGAGGACAGACGGGCCUCUCUGUACUACCAGGAGCAGGAGCAGGUGCAAGCACAGGCGCAGGCGGCCAUGGUGGCUUCUCCACAGGCCCAGCAAAGCCAGCCAGCAGAAGCCUCUCCAGCAAGUGGAAGACAGACUGGGAGCAGUGAACGUAAACGAAAGGAACCUCGGGAAAAAGAGAAAGAAAAGGAAAAGGAAAAGAAUAGCUGUGUCAUUUUGUAACAAGUGUUGGAUUCUGCUGGAGCCACUACUCGGGCGACUGGAAGGAGGAAGCACAGGAGGAGGAGGAGCCAUCAAUACCGUCUGUGCCUGAUCCCCCAGUGGCUUCGCGUGUCUUUGCAGGGAGAGGUGUUCUGUUACAAUCAGACCUUUUCAAGGGACAGCACAGCACCCUCCAUGAGCCGGAGCCAGAGCUGGAGCUGGAGCUCUCUACUACAAGAUUUCUCUCGAGUACGACACCAUGUCUUCCCAAAAAUAUACUGCACUGCGACUUUUGUUUGGUUGACUAUCGUGUCAAAAUCAAGAGUACUUUGGGAGUAUAAAGAGCACUUUAAAAAUCUACUUUUCCCAAUAUCUUUUGCUGUUCUAAAUGUCUAGAUUUUCUUUGCCUUUUCCUUCGUGGAAUAGUGCUAUCAGGUCACUAACACAUAUGUGGGUGGGAUUUGGAUUUCUCGGAUGCUAUCAUUUUGGGAUUAUUUGUGCACUUUAUUGCAAAAUGUAAUUUGAUUGUGUGCAAUGAAAUUCCUUUUAGACAGUGACUGAAAAUGGCAGAGAAUGUUGGACUCAGCGAGUUCUUGGGUUGUCUCAUAAUGUACUCUCUUAUUUUUAUUGUCCAACACUUCUGAAACUCUUAGGAAAAGUUUUGAGGAGUCGAAGUUACUCUUCUCAAGUGACGCAUUGGAAUUAGCUACAUUUUAAAAUUAAAGGCUUCUUGAACAGAAUCAACUCCAAACUAGAGGAGGUCAGAUGGAAGGGCCAGCUGAGCCGCGGAGGCCUUGCUGACAUGGGACUCCUGCAUGUCUUUACUGAACGCCGUGGUUGCGCUGCUAGAAGAGUUUGACAGGUUGCUACAGACAUAGAUUUUUUUCACGUGUAGGGUUCUAGCUUCUAGUGUGUCUCUUCUGAUCUCAAGAAAAUUAAAUUCGACAAACAGGGUAAAAAUUUGCCACUACUGCCUCAAGUUCGCCUUUGUUCUGAGAAAGAGUGCGAGACUUGUCCAGCUGACACAGUUCUCUCCCGAGGACGGCGUUGAAACAGAUCCCACGGCAGAAAUUAAAAACAGACAAGGCCUAGCCUUGGAACCAAGGGAGGUUUAAAGAACAAAAGAGCUGCAUUAUUCUAUAAGCCUUUCUACUUUUCCUGACAUUGGUAGCAAAAACCUCUUUAUAAUAUCACUAAAUGAUUUGCCUCUGGUCACUCCUGUAGUUUUAUACCAACUAGCACUGCGGUCUCCUGUCUGAGAAGCAGGGAGUACUGUGCUGUUAGAGGACUCAGCGGCAUCUUCUCCCUGUAGGUGAGCCUGGCUCCCUAGGCUCCAGCAGUUAUAUCACAGCUUUAUGUAGAGUCAGGACACUCAGGUGGGCAUUUCAACUCGCCAGUGACAUGUCCAAGGAGACUCUGAAAGGUCAUGCAAAGCAGCUGGAAAGAAUGUGCUGUGCGUUAAGACUGAGGUCAGCAUUUAAGCCUUUGAAUUAAAUACCAUAGUUUUGUGCAGAAUUCUUGUUACUGUUCCUCACAUAUUACUUACAUGAAACGGCCAUUUUUUUUUCAGAGUACGUAGCACAUCUUUGCUUUAUUUUAAAAAAAUGAAGUUUUGAAAAUCACUCGGCGGUGUUUGUUAAGAUUAUAUUUUCCUCAAUAAAAAUGAGAUGCACACACAUAACACGUAAGCAGGAUGGCAGAACAGAAGACUGAGGGACCGGCGGCUUCCAAGUUCCCGGAGGCCUCUCCCAAUGCAUGUGAGUCUUGCCCUCAUCCAGCUGGGCUGAAUAAUUAGGCUAAAACACAGAUUUGGGAGAAUAGCAAGUGAAAUGGAAUCGUGGCUGCAGAAAACUCGGUAAUUUCUAGUCACAGCACGCGGGAGAAGCAUGUGUUCUUUCUCCUCGCCGGCUUUGCUCUGAUGUGUGGAUGGUUUGUGUCAGGCCAGUUGGAGCAGCAUUCUCAAAGAGACUGCUGCAGUGCCUGCUUUUAUCUCGCUCUUUCCCUGUCUGCACAGUCUUUCUGCUUCUGAGAGAUCAUUCUUGUUUUAACUGCAAGUAAAAUCAUCACAACCCUAGAGAUUAACAUGAGAGGCCUGAGAUGCAUUGAGAAAAGACACUUAAUAUGUGUCUACCCGUCUUAGGGAUGAACUGAUUUCUGUGAGAUAAGUUUUAUUGUUUUAAAUGCUAAUUAUGCUAAAACAACUCUGAAGAGUACAUCUUGAACUUUCCAGAGCUUCAUUUUCGGAAGAUAUUCCUAAAAACACGUUAUAAAUAUAGGUGGGAAAGUAAAAAAAAUUUCUGACACAACUGUUCAGUAUUAUUCAAUGUUUAAUUUCACAUUUGUUGUACCAUGGUGUAGUGUCAUCAGAUUAACAUGUUGGAUGUUUUUGUUAAUACACUUAAAGCUGUAACCAGUGGAUUACACCUGUAGUAUUUUUUAUUAUAGAUUAUAUUUUAUUUCAAUAAACUUUGAUAUUUAGACUGAA